GAUGAACGCUGGCGGCGUGCCUAAUACAUGCGAAUCGAGCGAACGGACGAGAAGCUUGCUUCUCUGAUGUUAGCGGCGGACGGGUGAGUAACACGUGGAUAACCUACCUAUAAGACUGGGAUAACUUCGGGAAACCGGAGCUAAUACCGGAUAAUAUUUUGAACCGCAUGGUUCAAAAGUGAAAGACGGUCUUGCUGUCACUUAUAGAUGGAUCCGCGCUGCAUUAGCUAGUUGGUAAGGUAACGGCUUACCAAGGCAACGAUGCAUAGCCGACCUGAGAGGGUGAUCGGCCACACUGGAACUGAGACACGGUCCAGACUCCUACGGGAGGCAGCAGUAGGGAAUCUUCCGCAAUGGGCGAAAGCCUGACGGAGCAACGCCGCGUGAGUGAUGAAGGUCUUCGGAUCGUAAAACUCUGUUAUUAGGGAAGAACAUAUGUGUAAGUAACUGUGCACAUCUUGACGGUACCUAAUCAGAAAGCCACGGCUAACUACGUG
rnacentral:rRNA from 1 species